rnacentral:rRNA from 1 species
UGGUGGAUCGAUUUGUCUGGUUAAUUCCGUUAACGAACGAGACCUCAACCUACUAAAUAGUCUAUAGAACAUUGGUGGCAACACCUUGUUCUCACAAUUACUUCUUAGAGGGACUAUUCACACAAAGUGAAUGGAGGUUUGAGGCAACAACA